UACGUAGGGAGCGAGCGUUAUCCGGAUUUACUGGGUGUAAAGGGUGCGUAGGCGGCUUUGCAAGUCAGAAGUGAAAUCCAUGGGCUUAACCCAUGAACUGCUUUUGAAACUGCAGAGCUUGAGUGGAGUAGAGGCAGGCGGAAUUCCUAGUGUAGCGGUGAAAUGCGUAGAUAUUAGGAGGAACACCAGUGGCGAAGGCGGCCUGCUGGGCUUUUACUGACGCUGAGGCUCGAAAGUGUGGGGAGCAAACAGG
rnacentral:rRNA from 1 species